GGGCGAGUUCGAUCAUCUGGUAGAUGGUCUGUUUCCCGGUCAGGCGGUCGACGAAUUCGCGGGCCACGGCUUCGAGUUCCGUCUCGCUCU
rnacentral:tRNA from 1 species